ensembl:lncRNA
CUUCUCCAGCUUCAGCGGAGAUUACUGCCGCUGCACCAGCAAUCUAAGAACUCGCUGGUGCUAGAAGAGUUCACACGUGCCUGGCUGAGCCUGUGCAUUCGUUAGGCUCAGGUGUGCAGAUGGCCUCAGCCCGGGGCAGACACGUUCCCUUUGUUCAGUUUGAGGUCCUCACCACCUGUGAGCCCCAGCUCAGGAAGCGCAAGAAGGGUGCUCAGAUGGCUGUCCACGCGCUCUUGGCGUGCUCUGAUCACACACAGUGCCACUGAACCCUGUGAAGGGACCUCUGUGACCUCCUAGCAUUUCCCUACAGCAGCUGCACAGGAACGUCCCGGUGGGUUUGGACACCUCCGGAAAAGGAGACUCCACGCCUCCCUGGUCAGCCUGUGCCAGGGCUCCGCUACCCAACGGCCCUAUAUUUCCUAUAGAAUGGCCCUCCGCCCACAAACGUUCUCUUGGCCGUUGUCAUCCCAUCGCACCUCCUUACUCCUCUGGGAGGAGUUCUGCCCAUGGCCACCCAGGUCUCCAUUUCUUUGCACGUUGCCAUCGCUUUCACCACCUGGUGAGGAGGCCCCAGUACCACUCCAUGGGCAGCCAGCAGCGUCACUUGACCAAAUGCAGGAGAUGACCAGAGGUUUUCCUCCAUUAGCCUCAGGUCCACGUUUCACAGUCUGUGUCCUUGCAGAUAACAAACCCCACAUUUUCAGCAUCCUCUGUGCAGAGGACCAUCCCUGCACCGCAAUCUCUUACAAGCCCUGAGCCUCAGGGUCUGCCCUUCUGCACAGCACUCUGUGCGACAAGCACUGCCUCACAACUUCUGUGCAGCAUCCCAGGUCUCCCUGUCUGUGUGCAUACAACGUUCCAAGACUGUCUUCUUCUCUGCUUAGCACUUCGUCUUCUGCCUAGCUUUCUUUGUGUUACUAUGAGCCUCAUUCUCCACUCUGUUUCUCUUUGUACUUGAUCAUCCCUUAUUAUUUCCUGCCUUCAUAUCCUUCUAAACCUGCCUUCUAGAAUUUCUUUGCUCUGCCUAUGUUAGAAGAUGAUGGGCUGACAGUGCUGUAUCCUUUCUCCUCCUCACUGAUUUUGAAUUCCGAUCUCAGCUCCAUUUCUAAUUCUUGUCCCUCCUUCUGAUAGAAAGGAGCUUUCACUGCUCGUGAUGUGUUCUGCCAGGCAGCACCUUCUGGAACAGCUUCCACCAGGUACCCACUGGAGAAUAAAGCACAUUCUUUAUCUUCUGUUUGCUGCCAUCUGUUUCACUUCCUCUAGCCCUCCGAUUGAGUCUGCAUUCUUAGGAUUCAUCUGUUCUGUUCAACCCUGACUUUGAAGAGGAAAAAGACAAUUCCACCAACUUUCCCAAGCAAUUCUUCCCAAACAAAUUCCCUCCAACAUACAUUCCUUUGUUUUCUGCACCUUCUUUGCCGUAGGAUUUCAUAUACACCAACAUUAGAAAGGAAAGGUAAUGCACAAAGUACAAUAUAUUUAAAAAAUUGUAAUAUCAUCUCAAUACCAAAUCACAACGUUUAAAUGUUGAUUUUCAGUGUAAGAAAUGUGUUAUGUCCACAAGAGUGUAUUUUUGGCAUGGGUUGAAAGGUGUUAGACCUUAACCCUGCUGUUAGUGCAGGAACUGUUACUCCUUGCUCUGCAAGUCAGCCAGGUAUCAUUUGAUACGGGAAAGCAACUCUCUAUUGGAGGAGUCCACUCUGUGAGCUGUGUAUGUACGAAUGUUCUAAUGUAACCUGAGGAAAUGAGGAAUGGGCAAUUUGGAUAACAUUUUGCGUGGUCCGGCAAAGGAGAAAGAGAGAUUAAUAGGAGAAACAAAAUGAGCAAGAUAAACGGAUUGACUAACAAAACAGAGAGCUUUCUGAAAAGUCAAACAUAAAAAUUGCUACAGCCCAUGUCCAGGUUGGCCAAGAUACACACAGCAGCCUUGGCAGCAUUACACUGAUAAUAUUUUUGCAAGGUGGAAUUAUUGCUGAACAGUAUUUUAGUAUAUUGGACACAAACAUACUGAUAUUUUUAUUAAGUGUCAAGCAUGUAUUUGUUCCUCUUUUGCCUGCAAGAAAAACAUCUGCCGUUGUUCAUUAAAAGGAAUUCUCAC